rnacentral:misc_RNA from 1 species
UUUCCGUAGGUGAACCUGCGGAAGGAUCAUUACAGUAGUCGCCCGGGUUGCCGCAAGGCCUCCCGGGUAACCUACCACCCUUUGUUUAUUACACUUUGUUGCUUUGGCAGGCCUGCCCUCGGGCUGCUGGCUCCGGCCGGCGAGCGCUUGCCAGAGGACCUAAACUCUGUUUGUCUAUACUGUCUGAGUACUAUAUAAUAGUUAAAACUUUCAACAACGGAACUCUUGGUUCUG